CGUAGGGUGCUAACGUUGUUCGGAAUCACUGGGCAUAAAGAGCGCGUAGGCAGUCUGAUAAGUCAGGUGUGAAAUCCCCCGGCUCAACCGGGGAACUGCACCUGAUACUGUUGGGCUUGAGUGCAGGAGGGGAGAGCGGAAUUCCUGGUGGAGCGGUGAAAUGCGUAGAUAUCAGGAGGAACGCCGGCGGCGAAAGCGGCUCUCUGGUCUGUUACUGACGCUGAGGCGCGAAAGCUAGGGGAGCAAACGGGAUUAGAUACCCCGGUAGUCCUAGCCCUAAACGAUGGGUACUAAGUAGAGGAAAUUCCGAUAUUUUCUCUGCCGGAGCUAAUGUAUUAAGUACCCCGCCUGGGGAGUAUGGUCGCAAGGCUA
rnacentral:rRNA from 1 species